rnacentral:tRNA from 2 species
GAGUUUAGGUUAGACAAACCCGGGGCCUUCAAAGCCCCAAACAGAAGCACCCCCUCCUAACUCCU